UACGUAGGGUGCGAGCGUUAAUCGGAAUUACGUGGGCGUAAAGCGUGCGCAGGCGCUUUGCAAGACAGAUGUGAAAUCCCCGGGCUUAACCUGGGAACUGCAUUUGUGACUGCAUGGCUGGAGUGCGGCAGAGGGGGAUGGAAUUCCAGGUGUAGCGGUGAAAUGCGUAGAUAUCGGGAGGAACACCAGUGGCGAAGGCGACUACCUGGCCUGUUCUUGACGCUGAGGCGCGAAAGCUAGGGGAGCAAACGGG
rnacentral:rRNA from 1 species